GGCUCGGUAGUUCAGCUGGUUAGAACGCUAGCCUGUCACGCUAGAGGUCGUGGGUUCGAACCCCAUCCGAGUCGCCA
rnacentral:tRNA from 1 species